UGAGAUGGGCAUGUAGCUAUGGGGCUAUGUUUGAAAUGCCAUUUGUCAUUGUAUUAUUUUUUUUAAUUGUUCUAACAAACUGCUACAAAUGUAAUGGCCUUAAAGCAACACACAUUCAUAUUGAGGGGGGUGAGGCUAUAUGAAUUAAAAAAACAAAAAAGGAAGAAAAAAAAGAUAGUAGCAGCCUCCUGAACAAAAGUUAAUCUAUAUGCUAGCACUCAAAUAGCCUUGGUCAGAGAUGAGACCAGUAAGUGAGAGGAAGACAUAGGAAUAAUGAAAGUUUCCUUAUUGAUGGCACAAGAGAGUGGCUCAACAUCCUACUACAUCUGGAAGAGCUGAAUUCAAUCAAACUAAUCUAUGG